rnacentral:RNase_P_RNA from 1 species
CGAGGGUGGACAGGUGAUCGCCGGUGGUCGGCGACAGGACCGCCCCCGCAGUCCAUGUCGUCAUCACGGGAGGAAAGUCCGGGCUCCACAGAGCAGGGUGCCGGGUAACGCCCGGUCGGGGUGACCCGAAGGAAAGCGCAACAGAAAGCAUACCGCCACGUACGCGUCCGGAUCCCGCGUCGUCGCCAUCCCCUCGGGGUCGCGUGGCGGCGAGGACCGGGGCGCCGACCCCGCGGGGUCGGUGUCGGUAAGGUCGAACCGGUGCGGUAAGAGCGCACCGGCGGUCCCGGUGACGGGAUCGGCCAGGCAAGCCCCACCCGGAGCAAGGCCACAUAGAGGAGCGCUCGAGGGUUGCUCGCCCGAUGCUCCCGGGUCGGCCGCUCGAGCCUGUCGGCAACGGCAGGCCUAGAUGAAUGAUCACCACCGCCUCGCGGGCGACCGCGCGGCGGCACAGGACCCGGCUUACGGACACCCUCGACCC